CGUAGGGUGCGAGCGUUAAUCGGAAUUACUGGGCGUAAAGCGUGCGCAGGCUGUUUUGUAAGUCAGAUGUGAAAUCCCCGAGCUCAACUUGGGAACUGCGUUUGAAACUACAAGACUAGAAUAUGUCAGAGGGGGUAGAAUUCCACGUGUAGCAGUGAAAUGCGUAGAGAUGUGGAGGAAUACCAAUGGCGAAGGCAGCCCCCUGGGAUAAUAUUGACGCUCAUGCACGAAAGCGUGGGGAGCAAACAGGAUUAGAUACCCUGGUAGUCCACGCCCUAAACGAUGUCUACUAGUUGUUGGUGGAGUAAAAUCCAUGAGUAACGCAGCUAACGCGUGAAGUAGACCGCCUGGGGAGUACGGUCGCAAGAUUA
rnacentral:rRNA from 1 species